CGUGGGGACCAAACAGGAUUUAUACCCCUGGUAGUCCACGCCGUAUACGAUGUAGAUUUGGACGUUGUCGCCUUGAGGCGUGUGCUUCCGCAGCUAACGCGUUAAAUCGCCCGCCUGGGGAGUACGGCCGCAAGGUUAAAACUCAAAUGAAUUGACGGGGGCCCGCACAAGCGGUGGAGCAUGUGGUUUAAUUCGAUGCAACGCGAAGAACCUUACCUGGUCUUGACAUCCACAGAACUUUCCAGAGAUGGAUUGGUGCCUUCGGGAACUGUGAGACAGGUGCUGCAUGGCUGUCGUCAGCUCGUGUUGUGAAAUGUUGGGUUAAGUCCCGCAACGAGCGCAACCCUUAUCCUUUGUUGCCAGCGGUUAGGCCGGGAACUCAAAGGAGACUGCCAGUGAUAAACUGGAGGAAGGUGGGGAUGACGUCAAGUCAUCAUGGCCCUUACGACCAGGGCUACACACGUGCUACAAUGGCAUAUACAAAGAGAAGCGACCUCGCGAGAGCAAGCGGACCUCAUAAAGUAUGUCGUAGUCCGGAUUGGAGUCUGCAACUCGACUCCAUGAAGUCGGAAUCGCUAGUAAUCGUAGAUCAGAAUGCUACGGUGAAUACGUUCCCGGGCCUUGUACACACCGCCCGUCACACCAUGGGAGUGGGUUGCAAAAGAAGUAGGUAGCUUAACCUCGGGAGGGCU
rnacentral:rRNA from 1 species